UACGUAGGGGGCUAGCGUUGUCCGGAAUCAUUGGGCGUAAAGAGCGUGUAGGCGGCCCGGUAAGUCCGCUGUGAAAGUCCAGGGCUCAACCCUGGGAUGCCGGUGGAUACUGUCGGGCUCGAGUCCGGAAGAGGCGAGUGGAAUUCCUGGUGUAGCGGUGAAAUGCGCAGAUAUCAGGAGGAACACCAAGUGGCGAAGGCGACUC
rnacentral:rRNA from 1 species